GAUGAACGCUGGCGGCGUGCCUAAUACAUGCAAGUCGAGCGAACUGAUUAGAAGCUUGCUUCUAUGACGUUAGCGGCGGACGGGUGAGUAACACGUGGGCAACCUGCCUGUAAGACUGGGAUAACUUCGGGAAACCGAAGCUAAUACCGGAUAGGAUCUUCUCCUUCAUGGGAGAUGAUUGAAAGAUGGUUUCGGCUAUCACUUACAGAUGGGCCCGCGGUGCAUUAGCUAGUUGGUGAGGUAACGGCUCACCAAGGCAACGAUGCAUAGCCGACCUGAGAGGGUGAUAGGCCACACUGGGACUGAGACACGGCCCAGACGCCUACGGGAGGCAGCAGUAGGGAAUCUUCCGCAAUGGACGAAAGUCUGACGGAGCAACGCCGCGUGAGUGAUGAAGGCUUUCGGGUCGUAAAACUCUGUUGUUAGGGAAGAACAAGUGCUAGUUGAAUAAGCUGGCUCCUUGACGGUACCUAACCAGAAAGCCACGGCUAACUACGUGCCAGCCGCCGCGGUAAAAC
rnacentral:rRNA from 1 species